rnacentral:rRNA from 1 species
AAGACUCUCGGCAACGGAUAUCUCGGCUCUUGCAUCGAUGAAGAACGUAGCGAAAUGCGAUACUUGGUGUGAAUUGCAGAAUCCCGUGAACCAUCGAGUCUUUGAACGCAAGUUGUGCCCGAAGCCAUUAGGCCGAGGGCACGCCUGCCUGGGUGUUGCACAU